GUCAUGCCACCGGAUCCGCGCACCAUCAGACAGCGUUGUAACUGCGGUGGAUGCUCCAAGUUGUUGCCCUUCGACUUUUCAAACUGGUAUUUUCAAAACUGCAGCUCUUUGCGCCAGAAGUACGAGUUAGUUGUACAGAAGUGACAACACUGUUGAUCGCCAUCUCUACAAUUCAGAUAAAAUGAACAGAAAGAAUGGGCCUGUCUCCAGCUCCACCAUUAGACGGAGGGUCCGUCAAGAUGUUUUGACUACAUCACUGUGAUUGAUGGGAAACUGAAUACAACUUUGACUGAUGUUCCACUUCAUAGAAUUGUUGACUAAC